rnacentral:rRNA from 1 species
AUUGAACGCUGGCGGCAGGCCUAACACAUGCAAGUCGAACGAGUGGCGGACGGGUGAGUAAUGUCUGGGAAACUGCCUGCUGGAGGGGGAUAACUACUGGAAACGGUAGCUAAUACCGCAUACCAUCGGAUGUGCCCAGAUGGGAGUAGCUAGUAGGUGGGGUAAAGGCUCACCUAGGCGACGAUCACUAGCUGGUCUGAGAGGCUGCCCAGCCACACUGGAACUGGGACAAGGUCCAGACUCCUACGGGAGGCAGCAGUGGUGAAUAUUGCACAAUGGGCGCAAGCCUGAUGCAGCCAUGCCGCGUGUAUGAAGAAGGCCUUCGGGUUGUAAAGUACUUUCAGCGGGGAGGCGUUACCCGCAGAAGAAGCACCGGCUAACUCCGUGCCAGCAGCCGCGGUAAUAC